AGCGAGCGCUGGCGGCAGGCCUAACACAUGCAAGUCGAGCGCCCCGCACGGGGAGCGGCAGACGGGAGAGUAACACGUGGGAACGUGCCCUUCAGUUCGGAACAACCCAGGGAAACUUGGGCUAAUACCGAAUACGUCCGUACGGCGAAAGAUUUAUCGCUGAAGGAUCGGCCCGCGUCUGAUUAGCUAGUUGGUGGGGUAAUGGCCCACCAAGGCGACGAUCAGUAGCUGGUCUGAGAGGAUGAUCAGCCUCACUGGUACUGAGACACGGCCCAGACUCCUACGGGAGGCAGCAGUGGGGAAUAUUGGACAAUGGGCGCAAGCCUGAUCCAGCCAUGCCGCGUGAGUGAUGAAGGCCUUAGGGUUGUAAAGCUCUUUCGGCGGGGAAGAUAAUGACGGUACCCGCAGAAGAAGCCCCGGCUAACUUCGUGCCAGCCGCCGCAGUAAAAC
rnacentral:rRNA from 1 species